rnacentral:rRNA from 1 species
GAUGAACGCUGGCGGCGUGCCUAAUACAUGCAAGUCGAGCGAACAGACGAGGAGCUUGCUCCUCUGACGUUAGCGGCGGACGGGUGAGUAACACGUGGAUAGCCUACCUAUAAGACUGGGAUAACUUCGGGAAACCGGAGCUAAUACCGGAUAAUAUAUUGAACCGCAUGGUUCAAUAGUGAAAGACGGUUUUGCUGUCACUUAUAGAUGGAUCCGCGCCGCAUUAGCUAGUUGGUAAGGUAACGGCUUACCAAGGCAACGAUGCGUAGCCGACCUGAGAGGGUGAUCGGCCACACUGGAACUGAGACACGGUCCAGACUCCUACGGGAGGCAGCAGUAGGGAAUCUUCCGCAAUGGGCGAAAGCCUGACGGAGCAACGCCGCGUGAGUGAUGAAGGUCUUCGGAUCGUAAAACUCUGUUAUUAGGGAAGAACAAAUGUGUAAGUAACUAUGCACGCCUUGACGGUACCUAAUCAGAAAGCCACGGCUAACUACGUG